ensembl:lncRNA
GGUGUUUUAAUAGGGAUUAGAUGAAAUUUAUUAGUCUCAGCUGGAAUGUGAACCCGGAGGAAACCAACACGGACACGGGGAGAACAUGUGAAACUUUGCAGAUGAUAACCCGAGCUCAGGAUAAUAAUUUGCAUGUAUUUAUGGAAAUGAUGUGCUGUCUAAUUGAACAUGCACACAUUAGCAUACAUUAUAAAACUGGAGAUCAGAUAGCCAGGAUCGGUAUCGGGCCGAUGCCAACAAAAAGUAGUGAAGCGGAUAUCGGAGGGGAGGAAAAUAAACAAAUGAAUAAAUAAAUAAAAGUAUGAAUCUGAUCUCAUCCUGUAACAAAGGGAAAAGAUUGGAACUUAAUUUGGAAGAGAUUUUUUUUUUGGAACAGGUAACGUUUACAUAUAAAUACAAUAAACUUGAUUGUAUGGUAUCUGGUUAGGCUUGAUUUGUAUUAUAUUUACACUGUAUACUUUAUUAUAUUUGCCAUGUACAGUAGGUGGUUUUUUUCAGUCAUUUUUUUUUUUUAAAAAUGAAGAGUAUUUUUAAAGCUAGUUUUAAAAGGGGGGGGGAAAUCAGCUGGGUAUUAAUAUCAGCAGCUAGUCGAGGUUUCGGUAUUGGUAUCCUAUCAGAAAAGAAAAAGAGUUAUCAUGCCAUCUCUAAAUAAAACCAAAAAUGUUGACUUUUGCUGUUGCUAGAAUUAAAAUAUUUUAUUUCACUGUGCUCGCAAGAGAUCGUCAGAACAUCAUUUCUUCUUUGUUUCGUUGAUAAAUAACAUGCACCGUUAGAAAUAAAUUUAUUUUACGCCAUUUUUAAUUAUAAAAUCUAACAUGGAUCCAACAAUAAUUAACGUUUUGGGAAAUUCAUCUGUAAGGUCCUUCUAAUUAGCAACAGGAACGAAUGUAUUAUUGUAAUUUAAUGAAAACAUUGACAGAAAAAAAAAAUAUUUUGGGGAAAACUGUUUAAAAAUACAGUGGUUUGAUGUGCUUCCAUUCUAGUUAGUGUGGUUUAUAAAGGAAAUUGACAUGUACAUCUUAAUAACACAUACAUUCGUAUAUACACUAUAUGGCCAG